rnacentral:rRNA from 1 species
AAAUGAAUAGACGGGGACCCGCACAAGCAGUGGAGUAUGUGGUUUAAUUCGAAGCAACGCGAAGAACCUUACCAAGGCUUGACAUAUUACUGAAUACUGUGGAAACAUAGUAGGCCUUCGGGACAGUAAUACAGGUGGUGCAUGGUUGUCGUCAGCUCGUGUCGUGAGAUGUUGGGUUAAGUCCCGCAACGAGCGCAACCCUUGUCAUUAGUUGCCAGCAUUGAGUUGGGCACUCUAGUGAGACUGCCGGUGAGAAAUCGGAGGAAGGUGGGGACGACGUCAAAUCAUCAUGCCCCUUAUGUCUUGGGCUACACACGUACUACAAUGGCUAUUACAACAGGCAGCGAAGGAGUAAUCCGGAGCGAAUCCCCAAAGAUAGUCCCAGUUCGGAUUGUGGGCUGAAACCCGCCCACAUGAAGUCGGAAUUGCUAGUAAUUGCAGGUCAGCAUACUGCAGUGAAUACGUUCCCGGGUCUUGUACACACCGCCCGU